rnacentral:lncRNA from 1 species
GACAGGGAGCUUAAGAUGUAUAUAAGCACUAGAAAAAAUCUUCUAACCUUGAGUUGGUCUGGUGAGUUACUCUGACCUUCUCCUUGUAACUGGUUGCAGAAAUAAACUCCCUUCUUUCCCAGUCUGCCUGCAUCUCAUUAUUGGAUCACCAGGACAAGCAGCCAGGCCUCAUUCUGUCCGGGAGCAAAUCUGGUAACUCUCCCAGGAGAGCUCAGCAGCCAGCGGCUCGCAAAGAGGUAGUCUUUGGGUGACCCCCAGCAGCUGCCUGGUAUGGUUUGUCCUGGGGACUCUCCUGAGGACCUUUCUGGCUGCAAAGACUGCCCGUCUCUCUAUUACUGGGAAAGAAUAGAGAUUGGGAGCAGUUGCACUCAAAAGCCCUGCAGCUAGCUGUCCCAAGUAAACAACGCUCUUGGAGUAAAUUGGAAACUCACACAGCAUGGAAACCACAACCUUCUGGACAGACUGAAAGGAUGAAUCAAACACGAAAACAGUGCCAAACUGUGCCAACUAAAAUGGAUUCAGGUACUCAGCAUUGUACUGCUUUGGCUUGCUUGCAACAGGAGUAUCGUAAACUCAGCGAAACUGUGUCACUUGUACCAGCCUGGUGAUCAAGUGCUGCUGAAAGAAUAAAGAGAAAUGAGCCCAAGUCAGCAGCUACAGGAGAAAUAGAAAGGGCCCCAUGACAUGCUGCUGACUACCAAUUUGGCAAUGAAACUGGCUGGCAUCAAGCCAUGGAUCCACCACAUGCCCGUGAAGAAGUUCCUGCCGGAGGAAACAUUCAUGACACAGGACACCAAGGCUGCCAAAUGGGAGACAGAACCCCUUGAAGGCCUAGGAUUUCUGUUCAAAAGAUGAUAAAGUAUUGUUUUACAUUGUUACAUUGCUGCUUUACAUUGCUGCUGUUUUACAUUGUUAUUUCUGCGUACCUCUAACCUUUUCCUACAAUGGGCAAAGGUUAUGCAAAUAGCUUACAGCAAGACUCUUGCUGGGUCUGUGCUCUAUUACCCCUCUCUGGCACCAUGGGGCUGCCUUGGUGCAUCCCCCACAUACAAGGAAAAAUUAGGUUUAUAAUAUCUUGAUUUUGUAGAACACCUUCCUGGUGGCAGAAAAUUCUUCUUGUCCUAGCUGCCUUCCUGGGCAUGAGCAUAAUACUAUGUUGUGAACUAUAUUAUUGUUAUAUGCUGUUCCAAAACAUUCCUCAGGCUCACAAGAUCAUGUCUUAUCAGGCGCUGCCUUUGAGUCUCUAAAGCCAGAAACAUUACCAGCACCAGAUAGACAUCUUCCACUCUAGCACCCCUUGAUGACAACCCUCUUCAGCAGGAAGUAGAUGGAGGGAAUGCAUACCCACUUUCCCUUAGUCGGCUAUGUCAUAGUUUACACUUUUGCACUAGCCUUUUAACAAACCAGUACUUGAAAAAAUUAACUAACAUGCUAGAAAUCACGUACAAAUUGACAGUGGGGAUUGUGGCAGGCCAGGUUUCCAUUAGCAACCAGAACAGUCAGUUUUCACUAAUCCUUUACUAUAACUCUGAUGAAUAUAUAAGUUAAACAUUAAAGAACUGGAGAAACUGGUCACUAAGUACAAUGGCUGGAAUGCAAAAACAAACCCAUUAAGACCCCAGACCCUAAUGAUUAGAUACAGAUUGAAAGAAACACUCCUGCUUGUAGGUGCACUCCCACACAUAGGCAGAGAGCUUAAAAUGUGUAUAUGCACUAGAAAAAAUAUUGUAACUGCGUUGGUCUGAUGAGUUACUCUGACCUUCUCCUUGUAACUGGUUGCAAAAAUAAACUUUCUUUUUCCCCA